UACAGAGGGUGCGAGCGUUAAUCGGAAUUACUGGGCGUAAAGCGUGCGUAGACGGCUAUCUAAGUCGGGUGUGAAAGCCCCGGGCUCAACCUGGGAAUUGCAUUCGAGACUGAAUAGCUAGGGUGCGGUAGAGGGAAGCGGAAUUUCCGGUGUAGCGGUGAAAUGCGUAGAUAUCGGAAGGAACAUCAGUGGCGAAAGCGGCUUCCUGGACCAGCAC
rnacentral:rRNA from 1 species